rnacentral:rRNA from 1 species
AUUGAACGCUGGCGGCAGGCUUAACACAUGCAAGUCGAACGAGUGGCGGACGGGUGAGUAAUGCUUGGGAAUCUGGCUUAUGGAGGGGGAUACCGACGGGAAACUGUCGCUAAUACCGCGUACCAUAGGAUGAGCCCAAGUGGGCUUGGGGAGUUGGUUGGGUAAUGGCCUACCAAGCCGACGAUCUCUAGCUGGUCUGAGAGGAUGACCAGACACACCGUGAUUUAGACACGGCCCGGACUCCUACGGGAGGAAGUAGGUGGGAAUAUUGGGCAAUGGGGGCAACCUGACGCAGCGAUGCCGCGUUAGUUAAGAAGGCUGUCGGGUUGUAAGGUUCUUUCGGUGAGCAGCCGUUAAUCACAGAAGAAUCACCGGCUAACUACGUGCCAGCAGCCGCGGUAAUAC